GAUGAAGAACGUAGCGAAAUGCGAUAAGUAAUGCGAAUUGCAGAAUUCAGUGAAUCAUCGAAUCUUUGAACGCACAUUGCGCCCGCCAGUAUUCUGGCGGGCAUGCCUGUCUGAGCGUCGUUUCGACCCUCGCGCCCGGCUUCUGUCGGGGGCGGUGUUGGGGAUCGGCCACACCCUUCAGUGGGAGGCCGGCCCCUAAAUUCAGUGGCGACCACGCUGUAGCCUCCCCUGCGUAGUACUAAAACCACCUCGCAGGCGGAGAGCGGUGCGGCCCGCCGUAAAACCCCCCAACUUUUACAAGGUCGACCUCAGAUCAGGUAGGAAUACCCGCUGAACUUAAGCAUAUCAAUAAGCGGGGA
rnacentral:misc_RNA from 1 species